UCUUCAAUAUCAAAUCCACGAUAGUUAUCUAAAAUCUCUCCAACCACCAAAUCCAUCAAUAUCUAUCAGUUUUGCCUAUAUAUAUAUCCAAUCAAUUCCACAAUUUAAACCAUUCCCUCAAAAUUCCAACCAAGAAACAAAACGUGAGGGAGAGAGAGACGACAUAAGUUCCAGCAGCGAGGGACAACAAGAAAACGAGGAUCAUUCCCCGCCACAUUCAGCGCAGAGGAUUCUGGAAUUGGCUGGCAAUGCAGCGAGGACGACGGUGUGGUUCUAAACGGGGCGAUAGAGAUGUGUCGAACAGCGGCGGACCGUAGCAGCAGUUGUUGCGGCUGCUCAUGACGAACAGCAGCUAUGAUGACGGAGAAUUACACGAGGCAGCGGCGGCGUGAAUUGUGUGAGAGAGGUGAUUCCUUGCAAGCGAGACGUGAUAUCAAGG